UGGGGAAUAUUGGGCAAUGGGGGCAACCCUGACCCAGCGACGCCGCGUGGGGGAAGACGGCCUUCGGGUUGUAAACCUCUUUUGUACGGGAAGAAGGAAGUGACGGUACUGUACGAAUAAGUCCCGGCUAACUACGUGCCAGCAGCCGCGGUAAUACGUAGGGGACGAGCGUUGUCCGGAAUUACUGGGCGUAAAGGGCGCGCAGGCUGUGCUGCAAGUCAGCUGUUAAAUGUCUGGGCUUAACCCGGGCAUGCGGUUGAGACUGCAGUGCUGGAGUGCUGUAGAGGCAAGUGGAAUUCGCGGUGUAGCGGUGAAAUGCGUAGAUAUUGGGAAGAACACCGGUGGCGAAGGCGGCUUGCUGGGUAGCAACUGACGCUGAGGCGCGAAAGCCAGGGGAGCAAACGG
rnacentral:rRNA from 1 species